GGCGAACGCUGGCGGCGUGCCUAAUACAUGCAAGUCGAGCGGACCGAAGGGAGCUUGCUCCUUUAGGUUAGCGGCGGACGGGUGAGUAACACGUGGGCAACCUGCCCUGCAGACUGGGAUAACUUCGGGAAACCGGAGCUAAUACCGGAUAACACCGAAAACCGCAUGGUUUUCGGUUGAAAGGCGGCUUUUAGCUGUCACUGCAGGAUGGGCCCGCGGCGCAUUAGCUAGUUGGUGAGGUAACGGCUCACCAAGGCGACGAUGCGUAGCCGACCUGAGAGGGUGACCGGCCACACUGGGACUGAGACACGGCCCAGACUCCUACGGGAGGCAGCAGUAGGGAAUCUUCCGCAAUGGACGAAAGUCUGACGGAGCAACGCCGCGUGAGCGAAGAAGGUCUUCGGAUCGUAAAGCUCUGUUGUCAGGGAAGAACAAGUACCGUUCGAAUAGGGCGGUACCUUGACGGUACCUGACGAGGAAGCCACGGCUAACUACGUGCCAGCCGCCGCCGUAA
rnacentral:rRNA from 1 species